rnacentral:rRNA from 1 species
CCUACGGGUGGCAGCAGUCGAGAAUCAUUCACAAUGGGGGAAACCCUGAUGGUGCGACGCCGCGUGGGGGAAUGAAGGUCUUCGGAUUGUAAACCCCUGUCAUGUGGGAGCAAAUUAAAAAGAUCGUACCACACGAGGAAGAGACGGCUAACUCUGUGCCAGCAGCCGCGGUAAUACAGAGGUCUCAAGCGUUGUUCGGAAUCACUGGGCGUAAAGCGUGCGUAGGCUGUUUCGUAAGUCGUGUGUGAAAGGCGCGGGCUCAACCCGCGGACGGCACAUGAUACUGCGGGACUAGAGUAAUGGAGGGGGAACCGGAAUGCUCGGUGUAGCAGUGAAAUGCGUAGAUAUCGAGAGGAACACUCGUGGCGAAGGCGGGUUCCUGGACAUUAACUGACGCUGAGGCACGAAGGCCAGGGGAGCGAAAGGGAUUAGAUACCCGAGUAGUC